GACGAACUGUCCUACCGCUGUUCGGAAUCACUGGGCUUAAAGGGCGCGUAGGCGGUCGAUCAAGUCAGGGGUGAAAUCCUGCAGCUUAACUGUAGAAGUGCCUUUGAUACUGGUCGUCUCGAGGGAGGUAGGGGUGUGUGGAACUUCCAGUGGAGCGGUGAAAUGCGUUGAUAUUGGAAGGAACGCCGGAGGCGAAAGCGACGCACUGGACCUCUUCUGACGCUGAGGCGCGAAAGCUAGGGGAGCAAGCGGG
rnacentral:rRNA from 1 species